CCCGGGUGGCUUGGAGCCAGGGAGGUGGGGGAGAGGGCGAGGGGAGUGGCAGCGGCCUCCCCUCGCCCCCGGGUCGCGGCCUAGCCCGGGAAGUCAGAGCGGGGUUCUGCAGCGCCGCGAUAACGACCACCCCCUCCCGGCCGCGGCCCUCGCCGGGGUGGGCUGGGAGCCAGGCUCCCGCUCACUUUUCCCAUCCUCCCCACCCCCACCCCCGCGCCCCACCCCCACGGCGCCUGCUCCCUUCCCAACCACCCUUCCUCCCCUCCCCCACAUCCGGUGCUCGCGAAACCGGGAGCGGGAGCUUCCCCGAGAGCCGACUGUUCCCGACCCCCGGAGGGCGAACUGACACUAGAUUGCUUUCUUCGGGGCAACAGUUUCUCCAGUUUAGCGGACGCUCCCUGUCUAAAGCAGACCGAGUGCCGGGAGCUGGGCUGACCUACUCUCAUUCCUCUCCAGGGUCCUACUACUUUGGAGAUUUUUCUCAAACUCCACAUACAAAGCCAUUGACCUUAUUCCGGGAUCCUACACCCAUUCCCACCCCACUUACACUCCCUCCCCCAGCCCUCAGCAUCGGAGUCAAGAGCUACAGGGACACUUCCGUUCUCCUUGUAGGAUUGGUGGAACCGUAAUGAAGAACACCCCCUAAACUCCCAUAAUUGGUGCGGAUUCCUAUGGGGGAGGCCCAUAUUGUUGACAUCUUCCAGGCUUUGAUUCUGGACCUUGAGAAGGAGGCUGUGGAACUAGUGAUAGCGAUGCUUUUUAGGGUAAAUGUGUGUAGGUUUUGGGGAAAGGGGAGCGAUCAGUGGAAAAGGAAUGAAAGUAGUUUAAAGCUCAUGUUUCAGUUUUUACUGCUCAGAUAGAGUACAACUUGUGAGUUCCUUAUUUACAACCUGCAAAGCUUCUUCAGGCUUAAAACAUUAACUUGGUAGAAACAGCAAAUUGAAAAUGCAACGUGUUUUCCUGUUUUAAAGUUUUAUUCCCAAAGGGUUUUUUCCCAGCCACCCGCAUUUUAAAAAGUUGUAUUACUUAGAAGUGAAAAGGCCCAACUAGCAUUUCCUGUUAAUGACCAGUAUGUGGAGUCUCAUUUAGCUUUCCAGAAUUGUCUUUUGGGGGUUAUUUUGACAAAUCACAGUCCUAAAUGAUGAAUGUUGAAUGAUGCACUAUGUUUUUGUUUAAAUGAAAUUUCCUGAAAAUAAUUUCAGAACUAAGGGAAAAUCGUUGCUAUCUUGAGACAUCAUAAAAUACAUAUUUUAACAACUGAAGACAUUUCAAGCAGGUAUAGUUCUUGAUGAAUCAGAAAGAACAUGAACCUGAAGUUCGAAAGAUCUGGUUUUUAGCUGGUACAAACCAACUCAACGCUUUGACUGUGGGAAAGUGGGCCUCAGUUCUUUUUUCUAUAAUGUGAGGACACUGGACUGUUUGAAUUCAGAACUCAGAAAGUUGAAAGGGAUCUUAAAGCCCUCUAAGAAAGAGUUUGGGAAUGUUCUUCACUGCUGUAAUUUUUCCUCCGAAAAUAACCUGGCUUCAGAUUCAUUGGUCCAAAGGGAAUUUGACUCCCUGUAGAAAUUGGAGAAAAGGUAAUGCAAGGAGAGAGGAACAGCUGUAUUUCUGCUUGAGUAAUAAACACACUAACAAAUUCUGGUACGAAUUUUGGAGACAUAAAGAGAAUGAGUGUAUGUACUUUAAAUGUACCAGUUUCUUCCCUCUCUCCUCGUAGAAGAUGCAGCACUUUUAAUGGUGCUGGGAUUCUAGGAUGUGUUUCCAUUAAUUCUAAUGCUGCCGAAGAAGAUGUGGUAGAGGGAAAGAUGGUGGCAGAAGGAGUGGAUAAAGAGGCAAAAUUGCCUGCUAAAAAAAAAAGAAAGAAGGGUUUGCGAAUUAAAGGGAAAAGGCGCCGAAAAAAAUUGAUCCUUGCCAAGAAAUUUACUAAGGAAUUGGGAUCUGGGAGGCCUGUUGCAGAUGCUCCGGCUUUGUUAGCUUCCAGUGCCCAUGAACAGGACGAAGAAAGUCUUUUUGAGAGCAAUAUAGAAAAACAGAUCUAUCUACCUAGUACCAGAGCCAAGACCUCCAUUGUAUGGCAUUUCUUUCAUGUUGAUCCCCAGUACACCUGGCGGGCUAUUUGUAACCUCUGUGAAAAAAGUGUCAGCAGGGGUAAGCCAGGCAGCCAUCUUGGUACAUCUACUCUUCAGCGACAUUUGCAGGCAAGACAUUCACCUCAUUGGACCAGGGCCAACAAGUUUGGAGUCACUAGUGGGGAAGAGGACUUUAGCUUGGAUGUAUCUUUAUCUCCCUCUUCUCCUGGAAGCAAUGGAAGCUUUGACUAUAUUCCUACCGAUGCAUUAGAUGAUAAUAGAAUGGGUAAGAAACGUGAUAAAUCAGCAUCUGAUGCCCUAAGGGCAGAGAGAGGGAGAUUUCUUAUUAAAAGUAACAUUGUCAAGCAUGCCUUAAUUCCUGGAACCAGAGCCAAGACAUCUGCAGUUUGGAACUUUUUUUACACUGAUCCUCAGCACAUCUCAAGAGCUGUGUGUAAUAUAUGUAAAAGAAGUGUGAGUCGGGGUAGGCCAGGUUCCCACUUAGGAACUUCAACACUUCAACGACACCUGCAGGCCACCCAUCCUAUCCAUUGGGCCGUUGCCAACAAAGACAGUGGUGCUCUUGGAAAUGGAUUAGAUGAGACUGAGACUGAAAGCAGUGAUCUCUUGAAUGAUACUUUGCAUGGAGAGAAGUCUACAGGCAGCCAAGAUUUAACAGCUGAGGAUCUUAGUGACUCUGAUUCAGAUGAACCUCCUGUGUUAGAGGUUGAAAAUAGAUCUGAGAGUCCUAUUCCUGUUGUAGAGCAAGACAGUCUCUUGCAUGAACAAGAGAGAGAAACAACAUUUUGUGAAAAUCCAGCCUCAAGUCAAAUAAGUCAGGCAAUUAUUCAAAUGAUUGUGGAGGAUAUGCAUCCUUACAACUACUUCUCAACUCCAGCUUUUCAGAGGUUCCUACAGAUUGUGGCUCCUGACUACAGAUUGCCAUCAGAGACUUACUUUUUCACUAAGGCUGUACCUCAGUUAUAUGACUGUGUCAGAGAAAAGAUUUUCUUAACUUUAGAGAAUGUUCAAAGCCAAAAGAUCCACCUGACCGUUGACAUAUGGACCCAUGACCCAUCUACUGACUAUUUCAUUGUGACUGUUCACUGGGUCUCUUUGGAAACUGUCUCUUCUCCCAAUAAUGGCAGGAUCCCCAAUUUUAGAAAGUGGGCAGUGCUUUGUGUUACGGGUUUGGCCAAAGACUGUUUGAUAACAAACAUUUUACAAGAAUUAAAUGACCAGAUUGGUCUGUGGCUUUCUCCCAAUUUCCUUAUUCCUAGCUUCAUUGUUUCUGACAAUUCCUCUAAUGUGGUACAUGCAAUCAAAGAUGGUGGUUUUACCCACGUGCCGUGCUUCCUGCAUUGUUUAAAUAUAGUUAUUCAGGACUUUUUCUGUGAGCACAAAAGCAUUGAGAAUAUGUUAGUGGCUGCUAGGAAAACCUGUCAUCAUUUUAGUCAUUCAGUCAAGGCCCGUCAGAUACUGCAAGAGUUCCAAAAUGAUCACCAGCUUCCAUGGAAGAAUUUGAAGCAGGAUGAAACUGGCCAUUGGAUUUCCACCUUUUAUAUGUUAAAAUGGCUUUUGGAGCAUUGCUACUCAGUUCACCAUAGCCUUGGUAGAGCCAGUGGAGUUGUGCUCACCUCCCUUCAGUGGACUCUAAUGACAUAUGUUUGUGAUAUUCUUAAACCAUUUGAGGAAGCUACUCAGAAAGUGAGUGUAAAGACCACAGGAUUGAAUCAGGUGCUACCCCUAAUCCAUCAUCUAUUCCUUUCCCUUCAGAAACUCAGAGAAGACUUUCAAGUCAGAGGUAUUACUCAGGCCCUCAAUCUGGUGGAUAGUUUAUCUCUGAAACUUGAAACUGAUACCCUACUAAGUGCCAUGCUCAAAUCCAAACCCUGUAUCUUGGCUACUUUGUUAGAUCCUUGCUUUAAGAACAGUUUGGAAGACUUUUUUCCUCAAGGUGCUGAUUUAGAAAUUUAUAAACAGAUCCUUGCAGAAGAGGUUUGUAAUUAUAUGGAUUCUUCAUCAGAAGCCUGUCAAAUUGCAGCUUCAGAAGCAUCUGGUCCCUUAGUUACAGUAGGAGUUGAUUCAUUUACCUCAUCUAUAAAAGAAGGCACCUCCAAUUCAGGUUCCAUGGAUAGCCCAGCCACAGACAGUGUUGCCAUUGGAAGCAAAAGCUUCAUGUUCCCUUCUGCAGUAGCAGUAGUGGAUGAGUACUUCAAAGAGAAGUAUUCAGAACUCUCAGGAGGUGAUGAUCCUUUGAUUUAUUGGCAAAGGAAACUGAGCAUAUGGCCAGCUUUGACCCAAGUUGCCAUUCAGUAUCUAAGUUGCCCCAUGUGUAGUUGGCAAUCUGAAUGUUUCUUUACUUCAAAUAGCCACUUUCAUCCAAAGCAGAUCAUGAGCCUGGACUUUGAAAAUAUAGAACAGCUGAUGUUUCUGAAAAUGAACUUGAAAAAUGUUAACUAUGAUUAUUCUACGUUGGUUCUAAGCCAGGAUCCUGAGAAUAAGGUUGUUCAAAGCAGUGAAAAAGAAAUAUUGUCUUAAUUUCUUUUUCCUUUCUCCAUUUAAAAUGGGCAACUUUUUGCUAUAUUAUUGUAUCCUUACUGCUAUAAUUAUUAUAUAGUCAUACUAAUUAUUCUUUAAAAAACAGCUGAGCAUGGUGGCUCACUCCUGUAAUCCCAGCUACCUGAGAUGCUGAGGUGGGAGAAUUGCUUAAGCCCACAAGUUCGAGACCAGCCUGGGCAACAUAGCCAGACCCCUAUGCCUAAAAACAAGCAGCCACAAAACUAAAUCUGGGGAAACCUGAAAACAAAAAGAGCUAGAAAUUCCUCAGAGACAGUAUGUUGAUAAAAUGAAGGUUAACUUGAAAGAUUUCACUGUUGUAACUUAAUGUUACACUUGGAAAUUUUGAAAAUGUUUAUAUCAUUUGAGAAAGAAAAGAGAUUUUUUUAACUGAAAAAAAAAAUAUAGUGCAGCAUUGAAAGGCCUUAGGCUAUUUCUGACUGGUAGAUUGAACUAGUAAUUAUAAUAAAAAUUUUCCCCAGCAUGGGAGGUUUGAUUACUCUAAAACCAAUGAAUUGAGAAAACAACAAUAUCCUAAGUUGGUAUUCCUUCCCUCUCCCCAUUUUUCUAUGUCUUUUAAAACCCUGAUGCUUAGUUAUAAUUUGGCAAAAAAGAAAAAAAAAUUGUUUUAUAUUUGGGAAUUUCUAAUUGCCUCCUCAUACUGGUCAGCUUGAUAAUUUCAAAUUAUUGGGCAUGAUAGAAUUACCCUUUAUGUUUAGGGAAAGAUUAGGAAAAUAAUAUUUUUAGUCUGAAUUAUCUUUUUUAACCUUUAAAAUAUUAUUUAAAACUAUAAAGAUUAUAUAGGUGCUUUUGCAUAGUUUAUGGGUUAAUAAUAGUAAAAAGUUUGCAAAAUGGAAGAAGAUUGAACAGGAUUAGAUUUCAAGCCCUGUGAGCAUAUUUUGACAAACCCAGUUUGCCUUCUCUGAAGAUGUUUUUCUAAUUUUUGGUGAUCUUUUGAAAAACAUAAUGAUCCAUAAUAUUAACUGAAGUUGUUUUGGCCACUGUAUCUUCCUAACUAAAAAUAAGCAGUCAGUAUUUUCAUAUGUUAGGAAUCAUUGGUGAAAUAAGUGAAUUAAUCCCAGUGAUCCUUCAAAGGUCCCUUUCCACUCUGAAAGUAUGUUUCUAUAUUUGAGUGGGAGGCCAGAAAAUGAUGACUUUUAGUAAAAGUCUAUUAAAAGUUUCAGACUGAAUAACUAAUGUAAGAUCCCAAUUUUUCCUUUUUUUCAUUUUAGAUUUGGGGAUAUUCCCUGCCCAAAAAAAUCCUGGAAAAUUGACUAGUAUUAAGUGCGUAAUAGAUUGGAACUCAGUGAAGACACAGACGUUCCUGUUGAGAGCAACCAGCUAAUGAUUGUGUUUUAAAGCCGAUUUCUGUGAUUGAAUUGUCACUUGGAAGAUUAAACCCAUUUCAAAAGGACUUGGCGCUGGUCCUUGCCUUGAGGAAGCAGUGGCUUACUUCAAGAAGCCACUUCUGGGCUAAGAAUUUACC